rnacentral:rRNA from 1 species
GGAAUCACUGGCUUAAAGCGUGCGUAGGCGGAUGUGCCGGCGUCGUGUGAAGCCUCGGCUCAACCGGGGAAUUGCACGGCGAACCGCACGUCUCGAGACAAGUAGGGGCGGUCGGAACGAUAGGUGGAGUGGUGAAAUGCGUUGAUAUCUAUCGGAACGCCAAAGGUGAAGACAGACCGCUGGGCUUGUUCUGACGCUGAGGCACGAAAGCGUGGGGAGCAAACGGGAUUAGAUACCCCGGUAGUCCACGCCCUAAACAAUGUGCACUAGAUCGAAGGAGGUACUGACGCCUUUUUCGGUCGAAGUAAAAACGUUGAGUGCACCGCCUGGGGAGUACGGUCGCAAGGCUAAAACUCAAAGGAAUUGACGGGGGCUCACACAAGCGGUGGAGCAUGUGGCUCAAUUCGAAGCAACGCGAAGAACCUUAUCCUAGGUUUGACAUGCACGGAUUAGUUCGCUGAAAGGCGAAUGACACUCUCGUAGUGGAACGUGCACAGGUGCUGCAUGGCUGUCGUCAGCUCGUGCUGUGAAGUGUCGGGUUAAGUCCCUUAACGAGCGAAACCCCUAUUACUAGUUGCCAACGCGUUAUGGCGGGGACUCUAGUGAGACUGCCGGUGUUAAACCGGAGGAAGGUGGGGAUGACGUCAAGUCCUCAUGGCCUUUAUGCCUAGGGCUGCACACGUGCUACAAUGGUGCGUACAGAACGAUGCAAGACCGCAAGGUGGAGCAAAUCGCUUAAAACGCACCCCAGUUCGGAUUGAGGGCUGCAAUUCGCCCUCAUGAAGUCGGAAUCGCUAGUAAUCGCAGAUCAGCUACGCCGCGGUGAAUAUGUUCCUGAGCCUUGUACACACCGCCCGUCAAGUCAUGGAAGCCGCCAGUGCCUUAAGUCGCCAAAUCACUUUGGUGCCCACGGCAAGGGUGGUGACUGGGACUAAGUCGUAACAAGGUAGCCGUAGGGGAACC